rnacentral:rRNA from 1 species
UACGGGGGGGGCAAGCGUUGUUCGGAAUUACUGGGCGUAAAGGGCGCGUAGGCGGUUCGCUAAGUUGGAUGUGAAAACUCUGGGCUCAACCCAGAGCCUGCAUCCAAAACUGGCGGGCUAGAGUUCUGGAGGGGGUAGCGGAAUUCCUGGUGUAGCGGUGAAAUGCGUAGAUAUCAGGAGGAACACCGGUGGCGAAGGCGGUUCUCUGGGCCUUACCUGACGCUGAGGAGCGAAAGCGUGGGGAGCGAACAGG